GUUCGACUCCGGAGAGGGAGCCUGAGAAACGGCUACCACAUCCAAGGAAGGCAGCAGGCGCGCAAAUUACCCACUCUCGGCACGAGGAGGUAGUGACGAAAAAUAACGAGACGGAUCUCUUUGAGGCCCGUUAUCGGAAUGAGAACAAUUCAAAUCCUUUAACGAGGAUCUAGCGGAGGGCAAGUCUGGUGCCAGCAGCCGCGGUAAUUCCAGCUCCGCAGGUGUAUAUCUAUGCUGCUGCGGUUAAAAAGCUCGUAGUUGGAUCUGCGUGCUCGGAACUGGUUGGCUCACUGAGUUCAAACUGGUCUCCGGCGCUUUAUUGGCUGGUUUUCCCUUGAUGCUCUUAACCGGGUGUCUUGGGUGGCUAGCACGUUUACUUUGAAAAAAUUAGAGUGCUCAAUACAGGCGUAAAGCCUUGAAUAGUGGUGCAUGGAAUAAUAGAAUAGGACCUCGGCUCUAUUUUGUUGGUUUUCGGAACGCGAGGUAAUGAUUAAGAGGGACAGACGGGGGCAUUCGUAUUGCGACGUUAGAGGUGAAAUUCUUGGAUCGUCGCAAGACGGACGACUGCGAAAGCAUUUGCCAAGAAUGUUUUCAUUAAUCAAGAACGAAAGUUAGAGGUUCGAAGGCGAUCAGAUACCGCCCUAGUUCUAACCGUAAACGAUGCCAACUAGCGAUUCGCAGGCGUUAAACAACGACCUUGCGGGCAGCUUCCCGGAAACGAAAGUGUUCGGGUUCCGGGGGAAGUAUGGUUGCAAAGCUGAAACUUAAAGGAAUUGACGGAAGGGCACCACCAGGAGUGGAGCCUGCGGCUUAAUUUGACCCAACACGGGAAAACUCACCCGGCCCGGACACCGUAAGGAUUGACAGAUUGAGAGCUCUUUCUUGAUACGGUGGGUGGUGGUGCAUGGCCGUUCUUAGUUGGUGGAGCGAUUUGUCUGGUUUAUUCCGAUAACGAACGAGACUCUGGCCUACUAAAUAGUGGGCGGAUUCUUUCUGUCCGCAACACUUCUUAGAGGGACAAGCGGUGUUCAGCCGCACGAGAUUGAGCAUAACAGGUCUGUGAUGCCCUUAGAUGUCCGGGGCUGCACGCGCGCUACACUGAAGGAAUCAGCGUGCUUUCUGACCUUGCCCGAAAGGGCUGGGUAACCCGAUGAAAAUCCUUCGUGAUUGGGAUAGGGACUUGCAAUUAUUUCCCUUGAACGAGGAAUUCCCAGUAAGUGUGGGUCAUAAGCUCGCGUUGAUUACGUCCCUGCCCUUUGUACACACCGCCCGUCGCUGCCCGGAACUGAGCCGUUUCGAGAAGAACAGGGACCGUCGUUGAAGGGCCUUAACGGGCUUUUCUCUGAUAGAAACUGUUUUAAUCGCAGUGGCUUGAACCGGGCAAAAGUCGUAACAAGGUU
rnacentral:rRNA from 1 species